UCUCCGUAGGUGAACCUGCGGAGGGAUCAUUACUGAGUGAGGGCUCACGCCCGACCUCCAACCCUUUGUGAACACAACUUGUUGCUUCGGGGGCGACCCUGCCGUUUCGACGGCGAGCGCCCCCGGAGGCCUUCAAACACUGCAUCUUUGCGUCGGAGUUUAAAACAAAUUAAACAAAACUUUCAACAACGGAUCUCUUGGUUCUGGCAUCGAUGAAGAACGCAGC
rnacentral:misc_RNA from 1 species